rnacentral:rRNA from 1 species
AUGGAUCCUAUAUCAGAUUUCAUGGCCUCAAGCCAUUUGUCAGAAUUCAGGCUCAUCAUUGCUUCUUCAUAUUUCCUAGGUUCGCCGUUGUCUAACAACAUGACUUCCAGGACGGGAUUACCGUACCACUCCGGUGUGGAACGUGUCCUGGUUGACCUAUGA